UUCCAGUAAGUCUUGAAUCUCAAGAAGGAUUUCUCUUUAGAGGCAGUUUGAACAAGUAGUGUGAUGUAAAAACCUGAGUUAUUGGAAUAUCUCUUGAUUUUAGUGAAGCUGGUAGAACUUUUGGUUUUCCCAUGAAGGUUGGAAUAUAAUCAUCAGCUGGAGUGGAGGAACAGAAACUGAAAAGGAAGGACAGGCCUAUGUUAGAUGGAUAUAUGAGCUGGACUGGGAUGUCGGGAGCCGAUGGAACUGUGCUGUGGAACUAAGGGAAUCAUCACUGAGAGCAACUUUCAAGAAAUGUGAGGUGAAAGAGAAGAUUUACAUAUUUGAAACAUCUCUUCUGGUUUUUCUUUAUCGUCUCCCUUAAACACACUAGAAUAAUAUGAAUAAAAUAUAUUUUAAAUGUCUAACUUACACUACCAAAUAACAAACAAAACAUUAGAAGCCUGAUUCACUCAUUUGUAGGUGAUCUAUGAUACAAUCUGUAAGUCCUUACAAUUUUUUUUCUCAGUCAGCACUAUAAACAACUCAAUUUUUUGAAUAUGCUUCACAGAUAAUAUAUUCAGGUUUGAUUUAUUUUAAGACUGUUUUAUAGAAGCAAAAUAUACCUAGGAGGUACAAGAAAGAGCAGGGUUUACACAAAAGUAACUGGAUCAUCUCUUUUUACACCACUCUAAAUUCUUACUUUAAUAAAGAAGUGAAAUUACUACAGAAUUGAUUGUAUUAUUCUUUUCAGUACAGUUCACUGAAUUUUCUACUGAUAUAUAGAUAGUACUGGAACCAUGAGGACAAAAAAUCCCAUUGCAAUAUCUAUUAUUUAUCCAAAGUCAGAGCUUGUUGCAGGCCUCUUUUUAUUUUGUUAUCUUUCCUUCCAUGUCCAGGCAUAGCGUGGAUGAUUCUAUCUGCUAAACAUACAAUUGUUUCAUAGCAGAAGACAGCCAUAAAAUAACUCAAAGUAUACUUACACUGCUUUUGCCAAGAUUUCAGGUUUUAUACAGUUACUUUCAGUGUUUUC